UACGUAGGGUGCGAGCGUUAAUCGGAUUUACUGGGCGUAAAGCGUGCGCAGGCGGCCCGUCAAGACAGGUGUGAAAUCCCUGGGCUCAACCUAGGAAUUGCGCUUGUGACUGGCGGGCUCGAGUACGGUAGAGGGGGGUGGAAUUCCUGGUGUAGCGGUGAAAUGCGUAGAGAUCAGGAGGAACACCGAUGGCGAAGGCAGCCCCCUGGGCCUGUACUGACGCUCAUGCACGAAAGCGUGGGGAGCAAACAGG
rnacentral:rRNA from 1 species